rnacentral:rRNA from 1 species
CACGGGGGGAGCAAGCGUUGUUCGGAAUCACGUGGGCUUAAAGGGCGCGUGAGGCGGGCUCGCCAGUCCGUGGUGAAAUCCUCCGGCUCAACCGGAGAACUGCCUCGGAUACUGUGGGCCUCGAGGGUGGUAGGGGUGAUGGCGGGAACUGUAGGUGGAGACGGUGAAAUGCGUUGAUAUCGUAACAGGAACUCCGGUGGCGAAAGCGGCGUGCUGGGAUCUCUUCUGACGCUGAGGCUCGGAAAAGCCGUAGGGGGAGCAAAAGCGGG